rnacentral:rRNA from 1 species
UGCCAGCAGCCGCGGUAAUACGGGAGGGGCGAGCGUUAUCCGAAAUGACUGGGCGUAAAGAGUCCGUAGACUGUACUGUAAGUUAUUUGUUAAAUCCUAAAGCCCAACUUUAGAACAGCAUUUAAUACUACUUUACUUGAGUUUUGUUCGGAAGAGUAGAAUUCCACGUUUAGGGAUAAUCCCCGUAGAUAUGUGGAGGAACACCAUUAGCGAAGGCGACUCUUUGGUAAAAACUGACGUUGAGGGACGAAAGUGUAGGGAGCAAACAGGAUUAGAUA